rnacentral:misc_RNA from 1 species
GUGGAUUUUUACUUGUACUGUGACUUCCUAUCUAAUAAAAAAAAAAGCCCAUGAAAACAUUUCUAACUAGGAUUACGACUGUCAACCACCGGGAAGACCUUUACAGCAAAAGAAAGUUGCUCACGCACCUCAAAUUUACUGUUAUUGAAGAGCUUCAAACUCCACGAAUCAUCGAAAGUCGUGCAAGCCUGAAAGCUUGACCGGGGAGGGCUUAGAAACAAAAAGCAAGCCCCACUACAAUCCAAAACAUAACAAUGCAGAACCAAGGCCAUCGGGAUACCGCAAAGAACAUAGGAGGCUGUAGGGCUUUUGACACUCUAGCUCUCGUUAUAACCAUUAAGGGACUGAAAGCAUCAAAUGGCAUCGUGAACAUUAUUGAAAUGACUAGCCUCGAAGA